rnacentral:rRNA from 1 species
GACGAACGCUGGCGGCGUGCUUAACACAUGCAAGUCGAACGGAAAGGCCUCUUUCGGGGGGUACUCGAGUGGCGAACGGGUGAGUAACACGUGAGUAACCUGCCCUUGACUUUGGGAUAACUUCAGGAAACUGGGGCUAAUACCGGAUAGGAGCUCCUGCUGCAUGGUGGGGGUUGGAAAGUUUCGGCGGUUGGGGAUGGACUCGCGGCUCAUCAGCUUGUUGGUGGGGUAGUGGCUUACCAAGGCUUUGACGGGUAGCCGGCCUGAGAGGGUGACCGGCCACAUUGGGACUGAGAUACGGCCCAGACUCCUACGGGAGGCAGCAGUGGGGAAUAUUGCACAAUGGGUGGAAGCCUGAUGCAGCAACGCCGUGUGCGGGAUGACGGCCUUCGGGUUGUAAACCGCUUUCGCUCAUGACGAAGCUUUGUGUGACGGUAGUGGGUAAAGAAGCACCGGCUAACUACGUG